GAUGAAGAACGCAGCGAAAUGCGAUAAGUAAUGUGAAUUGCAGAAUUCAGUGAAUCAUCGAAUCUUUGGACGCACAUUGCGCCCGGUAGUAAUCUGCCGGGCAUGCCUGUCCGAGCGUCAUUUCACCCCUCGAACCACUAUUCGCGUAGCUGGAUCGGUGUUGGGGCACUACGGUGGAAUACCCGUAGGCCCCGAAAUGAAGUGGCGGUCCCGCCGCGGCGCCCCCAUGCGUAGUAACUUUCAGUCUCGCAUCGGGUCCCGGCGGAGGCCUGCCGUCAAGCCUAUUUUAUAAUCUUUUACAGAUGGUUUGACCUCGGAUCAGGUAGGGUUACCCGCUGAACUUAAGCAUAUCAAUAAGCGGAGGA
rnacentral:misc_RNA from 1 species